GUGCUCGCUUCGGCAGCAUAUAUACUAAAAUUGGAACGAUACAGAGAUUAGCAUGCCCCUUCCAUAUUUAAAAAAAAAAAGAAAGAAAUACAGAAAAAAAAUUUUU